rnacentral:piRNA from 1 species
UCCUGAUUUUCAAGACACAUUUCUGUGGUC